rnacentral:rRNA from 1 species
AGAGUUUGAUCCUGGCUCAGGAUGAACGCUAGCGGCAGGCUUAACACAUGCAAGUCGAGGGGUAUAGUUCUUCGGAACUAGAGACCGGCGCACGGGUGCGUAACGCGUAUGCAAUCUACCUUUUACAGAGGGAUAGCCCAGAGAAAUUUGGAUUAAUACCUCAUAGUAUAUAGCCCUGGCAUCAGGAUUAUAUUAAAGUCACAACGGUAAAAGAUGAGCAUGCGUCCCAUUAGCUAGUUGGUAAGGUAACGGCUUACCAAGGCUACGAUGGGUAGGGGUCCUGAGAGGGAGAUCCCCCACACUGGUACUGAGACACGGACCAGACUCCUACGGGAGGCAGCAGUGAGGAAUAUUGGACAAUGGGCGCAAGCCUGAUCCAGCCAUGCCGCGUGCAGGAUGACGGUCCUAUGGAUUGUAAACUGCUUUUAUACGAGAAGAAACACUCCUUCGUGAAGGAGCUUGACGGUAUCGUAAGAAUAAGGAUCGGCUAACUCCGUGCCAGCAGCCGCGGUAAUACGGAGGAUCCAAGCGUUAUCCGGAAUCAUUGGGUUUAAAGGGUCCGUAGGCGGUUUAAUAAGUCAGUGGUGAAAGCCCAUCGCUCAACGGUGGAACGGCCAUUGAUACUGUUAGACUUGAAUUAUUAGGAAGUAACUAGAAUAUGUAGUGUAGCGGUGAAAUGCUUAGAGAUUACAUGGAAUACCAAUUGCGAAGGCAGGUUACUACUAAUUGAUUGACGCUGAUGGACGAAAGCGUGGGUAGCGAACAGGAUUAGAUACCCNNGUAGUCC